AAGACUAAAUUUUCAGGGAUCAUUUCUAUAGUUUGUUACUAAAUAAGGUUGGCCCUUUCAGCCUUUGUUAGUUAUAAGUUGAGCCAUGUUCUGAUGAGGUUGUAUGGU
rnacentral:snoRNA from 1 species